UAACAAAUACCAAAUCUCUUUGAUACUUGCUGAUACUUGAUAUCUGACAGAUUUGUAGAAAGACCCUGAUUCAUAGGAAGGGAGUCACAUGAAUCAUUCACUGAAACGAGGAAUCUAAGCUUAUUCUAAAUCUUGCAGAGAUUCAUGUUCUUCAACUAAUUUUAUGGUGCUAGAAUAACAGUCUCAUAAAACUUAUUAAAUUCAGCUGUGUUUCCAGAAUGUAAUACAAGUUGAAAGCAUCUCAGUAACUUAAGAAUGGUUUAGUAUUAGAAAUACAUUAACAGAUUCGACAUAAUACUAAUGAAUUAUAAAACAUGUUUAUAUUAAUAGGUACAGAAAAAUAA
rnacentral:lncRNA from 1 species